GGAGAGGUACCGAAGUGGUCACAACGGGGCCGUCUCGAAAACGGUUAGAUGGUUAAUAGCUGUCACGUGGGUUCGAAUCCCAUCCUCUCCG
rnacentral:tRNA from 1 species